UACGGAGGGGGCUAGCGUUGUUCGGAAUUACUGGGCGUAAAGCGCACGUAGGCGGCUUUGUAAGUUAGAGGUGAAAGCCCGGGGCUCAACCCCGGAAUAGCCUUUAAGACUGCAUCGCUUGAACGUCGGAGAGGUGAGUGGAAUUCCGAAUGUAGAGGUGAAAUUCGUAGAUAUUCGGAAGAACACCAGUGGCGAAGGCGGCUCACUGGACGACUGUUGACGCUGAGGUGCGAAAGCGUGGGGAGCAAACAGG
rnacentral:rRNA from 1 species